UACGGAGGGAGCUAGCGUUGUUCGGAAUUACUGGGCGUAAAGCGCACGUAGGCGGCUUUGUAAGUUAGAGGUGAAAGCCUGGAGCUCAACUCCAGAACUGCCUUUAAAACUGCAUCGCUUGAAUCCAGGAGAGGUGAGUGGAAUUCCGAGUGUAGAGGUGAAAUUCGUAGAUAUUCGGAAGAACACCAGUGGCGAAGGCGGCUCACUGGACUGGUAUUGACGCUGAGGUGCGAAAGCGUGGGGAGCAAACAGG
rnacentral:rRNA from 2 species